GCUAGCGUGAUGUAGUGGUUAUAGAGUGUUGGACUAUGACUCUGGAGACUAGGGUUCGAAUCCCGGCUCGGCCA